rnacentral:rRNA from 1 species
UGGGGAAUAUUGCACAAUGGGGGAAACCCUGAUGCAGCGACGCCGCGUGAGCGAAGAAGGUUUUCGAAUCGUAAAGCUCUGUCCUAUGAGAAGAUAAUGACGGUAUCAUAGGAGGAAGCCCCGGCUAAACACGUGCCAGCAGCCGCGGUAAUACGUAUGGGGCGAGCGUUGUCCGGAAUUAUUGGGCGUAAAGGGUACGUAGGCGGUCUAUUAAGUCAGGUGUGAAAGCGUGAGGCUUAACCUCAUUAAGCACUUGAAACUGAUAGACUUGAGUGAAGGAGAGGAAAGUGGAAUUCCUAGUGUAGCGGUGAAAUGCGUAGAUAUUAGGAGGAAUACCGGUGGCGAAGGCGGCUUUCUGGGCUUUUACUGACGCUCAGGUACGAAAGCGUGGGGAGCAAACAGG